rnacentral:lncRNA from 1 species
CGCAUGUCCCUGCAUGCAGCCCUUUGCAGAGCACCUGCAGGAAAUCUUUUGUAGGAAGAAAUAUUGCCAAUCUAUAAGUUACAUUUGUAGAUGACCUCUUAAUGUUAUGUUUCCAUAGUAAAUUCAUCUUGGGAUUGUGGUACAGCUAAAAAUGCAGGCAAGUGUAGUGUGCCAUUUGAUUCUGGGGUAAAUACGGCAUGGAAAUGACCUCCACUCUACUGACUUUUUUUUCAACUAAAAACCAAGCUUGUUAAUAUCUUGCUUCUAAAAUCAUCAAUAGGUGGAAGUGUGAUCAACCCCACGAGGAUACAGAAGUAGGAUGGGGGAAGUUGUCUUACGGACUUCGGAGUUGUCCUUUCAGCUGUCUGAAACAGCAUAAAAAAGAAGUGUUAGGAGCUGCUCUUAACCCUUUCAGAGUCCGAAGUCAAAAGGGAACUAGAGGGCUUGACGCAUCCUUUACAUCCUGCAUUUACUCUGACCACAGUCCCUCCCUGUUCUCACAAGUGAAGCUCAGCCCUGCUUCCCUUCUUGUUGAUUCCCAGUCAGCUACAUGA